GGGCUAUUAGCUCAGUGGUAGAGCGCGCCCCUGAUAAUUGCGAGUCCAGGAUGGCCCA
rnacentral:tRNA from 1 species